ACCGAGGAAGGAGAACGCUCUAGCCGCUGCUGUUGUCCGUUUCAUCCACAUUGGGCGUUAGCUGCACCGCGCCUAUUGUGUUUUAGUAUUCCAUGGACACACAUUAGCAUUCAGAGCGAUUGUGGAGCCACAAUUUACUUCACACAGCGUUGUAUUGUCCACGAGCGCAAACUUCAUUAUCAGCAGUAACUGUUACUCUUCAUCCUACAUGUAGACUUGGAGUAUACACGGGCUUGUCACGACAGCGACAGCUCUACAGAGUGUUCAAGUGAGAAACAUUAAUUUCAAUUGUUGGUGGACGAAUAAAUGGCUGGUUCCGAAAAACGUGGCCUGCACCGAUGGUGUUUGGUGGAUCAUCAAACGGGGUGACCAGCAGUGUUCACCGAGGAAGGAGAAUGCACUCACCACCACUGUCGUCCGAUUCAUCCAAGUGGGCGUUAGCUGCGCCGCGCCUAUUGUGUUUUAGUAUUCCAUGGACGCACACUAGCGUUCUCAGCGAUUGUGGAGCCACAACAUAUCUUCAUGCGGCGUUGCACUGUCCAAGAGCAGAAACGUCAGCAGUGGCCCAUCAUCAUACAUGUAGAUUUGGAGUAUACACACCAUGCGCCAAUGGGCCUUGGCACAACAGCGGCGGCUCUACGGAGUGUUCAAGUGAGAAACAUUUGUUUCGACUUGUUGGACGAACAAAUCGUGGGUGCCGAAAAACGUGGCCUGCGCCGAUGGUGCUUGAAACAUCAAGCAUGGUAUGUGGUGACUGUCAGUGUUCAUCGAGGAAGGAGAACACUCAGGCCGUCGACCAUUCAUCCAUAUCGUUAGCUGCACUAAGUCUGUUGUGUCCUUGUAUUCCAUGGGCACACACUCAUGAAGCAUGGCGUCUGAGCUGUGUUCACAGAGCGGGGAGAUGCUCUUGCUGCUAUCUUAUCUGUCCUGUGUAUUCCCAAGUGCCGAAGGCUCACAACGAUGGUGUUGGACAAGUCAGAUAAAAUGGAGUCAACAUCGUCACAUGGUGCUGUGACCAAGAUACGGAUCAUGACGAACGCUGAUUCAACUGGACGAAUCGAAACCUGACGACGAAGAAUCGCGAGGCUUUUCAGAUGCAGGGACACAAUGGAAACUGAACGACUUCAGAACAGCACUGAAGCGUUAUGUUAUCAUGCAAGACGCCUUUCUGCGCCGCACAAACACAGGCGGUACUACAGCAGAAGAUGCCACUCACUAUUCUGCAGGUGAACUGGUGACAGGCGCAUGCAAGUUCACGUGAAGGAAGCGGUCUGAUGGUAACUGGAAUGCCAGCAGUAUGAGAGGGUGUGCAUUCUGCGGCGGAUCUCACCUGGACAAGAGCUGCACGAAAUACACAACAGUAGCACAGUGGAAAGAAUAACUGAUUGAACAGAAGCGUUGCUUUGUGUGUUUGCGCACAGGGCACCGGUGAACUCAGUGCAAGGCCACCCGCAAGUGUAAUGUGUGUUCUCGCAUGGGUCACCAAUCAGAGUCACCAUCAUGUCACGAUCUGCCCUGAAUCUCAACAGAAAUCUGACAGCAGGACCAACAUAGUAGCUGAUCAGCCUGUGGCUGACGAGGUACCAGCAUCUGGCGCAACAGGAGCUAGUGCAGCAUCAACCAGUAUCGCCAUUGACUGUAAGAUAGUCAGUCAUCUUGAUCGGUGCAGAUUUCCUCUGGGAGUUUAUGACGGGGAGCACCAGAGGACUUCCGCCAGUACUACAGUUUCUGCCUACCACAGUCGGUUUUGUGGUGACUGGCCGAACACGUCACUCCAAGCACUCAGCUAUGCCGAUGAGCACUACGAGCAGCCAUGCCAGCUAUCGUUUCUCUAACUGAUGCAACUUCCGACUCCUGCACCAUCCCAGAUCUGUGGGACCUAGACUGAGUUGACAUCCAGGAUUCAGGCAAUCUUACUAACAACGACCAAGCCAUUAGGCAAUUCAUCAUUGUUCAUAUGUAUUGUGUUGUCCGCUGCUAUUCGAAGCUCUCGGAGUCGGAAGCGUUACCUCUGUUUCCCCUGUUCCUCCCUGCGCGGAGUCUGUAGUUCUGGCUUGCAGUCGCUGUUACAUGCAUGUUGGCAGUUGCAUGUGUUUUGGUUUUCAGUUGUCUUUAUUUGUUUUGUGUGGACGACAGUUCAAUAUUCUA